rnacentral:lncRNA from 1 species
AGGCAAUAAAGACAACAAAAGAGGAAGAAAGGAGCUUACCUAAGCGCACAAGCUCUACAGCGGAGUAAAGCUCCGAUCAAAAUGAUAUAUAAAUAGGUGUGUUAGGCCUCAUUUGUUAACAACUGAAUCACACCAAUCUGAACCAUACCUCUUGUUCACACCGUUUGUUAAAUUGACACAGCUGGACGACACAAAAAAAAUUCUGGACGACAGAAAAAAUUUGUCUGGACGACUGAGGCAUAAAAAGGAAGUUGGAUGGUCCAGGGGAUGAUUAUACAGUAUACUUAUACUAAUGUUUUUUUUUUGAGUAGAAUACUGAUGCUUUUUACUACCCCUUCGAGAGUUCUAUAUUAAAAACUAUCAACUACCCAUUCUUAUUUUUUUAUUAAUUAAAAAUAAAAAUUAAGAGGUACGUAUAACAAAUUAAUUUAAAAACAAGGAGACUAGUUAAAAUGUUUAAUUAAAUGAAAAAGUAAAAGUUUAUUAACAUUCUAAUAAAUUUUAAUAUGUUAGUCGUAUUUACAGUGUAAUAUACUAUUAAAAAAAUCAUACCGCUAAUCAAAUUUUAAAAAUCGAUUUGGUCAAAUAUUUUUUAAGAAUUAAUCAAAGAUAUAUUUCGAAAUAUAUUUUGUUGUGUGAAAAAAAAUAAUAUUCAUAUGUAUCUUUUUUUUCCAUACCAUUAUUUAUUACCUAAAAUUAGGUUUAAAAAUUAAAAACAAUUAUUAUAUUAGAAUAUAGGAAUAAACAUACAAGAUAUUAUUAUAUAUAUUCAUUUUAAAUGAAUUCAUGAAUAGUGUAUCAUUAUAAUAUAAAUGUAAAAUAAACAAGCAUUUCAUUCAGAAACUAAAAAAUUUAGUUAUCAAAUGAUAACAUUCAUCCAGCAUCCAGAUUAUCAAUCAUCCAGAAAAUUAACUGUUCAGAAUUUACCGUUCAGAUUUAACAAAUGACCCCUUAGUAUAUGAAAGGAGGAAAAUAAAAGGGAGAAAAAAUGGUCGGAGGAUAGACAAGGAAGAAAAGAAAACAAUAAAGCAGGUUCAGACAGAUAUAUAGAGGGGACAUGAACUGGAGCAAGGCUGCUAGAAAAAGAGGC